rnacentral:rRNA from 1 species
CCUACGGGUGGCUGCAGUGGGGAAUAUUGCACAAUGGGCGCAAGCCUGAUGCAGCCAUGCCGCGUGUGUGAAGAAGGCCUUCGGGUUGUAAAGCACUUUCAGCGGGGAGGAAGGCGGUGAGGUUAAUAACCUCAUCGAUUGACGUUACCCGCAGAAGAAGCACCGGCUAACUCCGUGCCAGCAGCCGCGGUAAUACGGAGGGUGCAAGCGUUAAUCGGAAUUACUGGGCGUAAAGCGCACGCAGGCGGCCUGUCAAGUCGGAUGUGAAAUCCCCGGGCUCAACCUGGGAACUGCAUUCGAAACUGGCAGGCUAGAGUCUUGUAGAGGGGGGUAGAAUUCCAGGUGUAGCGGUGAAAUGCGUAGAGAUCUGGAGGAAUACCGGUGGCGAAGGCGGCCCCCUGGACAAAGACUGACGCUCAGGUGCGAAAGCGUGGGGAGCAAACAGGAUUAGAUACCCCAGUAGUC